UACGUAGGCAGCGAGCGUUGUUCGGAGUUACUGGGCGUAAAGGGUGUGUAGGCGGUUGUUUAAGUUUGGUGUGAAAUCUCCCGGCUCAACCGGGAGGGUGCGCCGAAUACUGAAUGACUAGAGUGCGGGAGAGGAAAGUGGAAUUCCUGGUGUGAGCGGUGAAUGACGUAGAUAUCAGGAGGAACACCGGUGGUGUAGACGGCUUUCUGGACCGUAACUGACGCUGAGACACGAAAGCGUGGGUAGCAAACAGG
rnacentral:rRNA from 1 species